GUAGUACUCCCUCCGUCCGAAAAUAUUUGUCAUCAAAAUAGACAAAAAAAAGAUGUAUCUAGAACUAAAAUACAUCUAGAUACAUCCUUAUUUAUUUAUUUUGAAGACAAGUAUUUGCGGACGGAGGGAGUACAUG
rfam:Triticum aestivum genome assembly, contig: Triticum_aestivum_CS42_TGACv1_scaffold_221963_3B